UACGUAGGGUGCGAGCGUUAUUCGGAAUUACUGGGCGUAAAGGGUGCGCAGGCGGCUCCGCAUGUCGGGCGUGAAAUCCCCGGGCUUAACCUGGGAAUUGCGUCCGAAACUAUGGAGCUGGAGUGUGGCAGAGGGAGGUGGAAUUCCACGUGUAGCGGUGAAAUGCGUAGAGAUGUGGAGGAACACCGAUGGCGAAGGCAACCCCCUGGGCCAAUACUGACGCUCAUGCACGAAAGCGUGGGGAGCAAACAGG
rnacentral:rRNA from 1 species